rnacentral:piRNA from 1 species
AACAGUUGGUAACAGCUUGUUAGCUUUAUGGU